CUCACCACAGCCUUGCUCAUCUGAGCCGUUCUCACAGUCUGUCUGCCCGUCACAACGCCAGGAGUUAGGAAUGCAGCGGCUGACUCGGCCCCCACAGCUGAAUUCCUUGGAUUGACAGGUGACAGACACUGGGGAGAAAGAGGAACAGUCACUCAAAGUGAAUACCACAUUGUCUUAAGUACCUAGAGCUGGCCUGGAACUCUCAGAGCUUGCGUUAAAGGCGUGUUCAUUGAGCUGAUAAUACAUACUCCAUUGCCCAACUGCGAACUGGACCAAUGACUCAUCAUGCAACCAGGAUCUGGCCAGUAAAGGAAAUGACUCACUCAUUCUCUCUGAUGGUUGGAUCUCACUGUGACCCAGAGACCCUGCCAGCACAGCCAUUACAGGCUUCUACAUCCAGCAUAGAUGGGUCCUCACACUUGGACUGCAAACAAGUCACCAACGGAGCCACCACCCCAGCCCAGCUCUGCUCUUGACCAACCUGAAGACAUGUGCACGGCAGAUCACAUUCUUAAAGAAAAUAAACAAACGGUCCGGGCAAAGCAUGGAAGCCAGAGCAAGCUGUAGCAGUCACUAUGAACAUGAGGAGUGAC